AUGACACUGGUGCUUCUAGUCAUGACAGGGGAGAGAAACAUGUUUGCCACGCUGGACGAGGGUGUGCACGGCACGGUGAAGUUCGGCGACGGCUCACUAGUGGCCAUCAAGGGCCGGGGCGCCAUCGUGUUCCGUUGUCAGAACGGCGAUCAGCGCGCACUCUCUGAAGUUUACUUCAUCCCCAGCCUCCGUAGCAACAUUAUAUCAGUGGGACAGCUCGACGAAGGCGGUUGCAAGAUCGGGAUUGAAGAUGGGACAAUGACCAUCCAUGACCCAGGCCGACGCGUGCUAGCUCGAGUCAAACGCACGGCGAACAGGCUAUACACGGGAGUGCUCUCCAUCGACGCUCCGGCCUGUCUCCUCACCAAGUCUGAAGAUGUUACCUGGCGCUGGCAUGCGAGGAUGGGACAUUUGCACUUCAGAGCCCUGCGAGCAAUGUCUUCGAAGCAAAUGGUUCGUGGGAUGCCGGUCAUUGACCGCGUCGAGGAGUAUUGUGAUGGCUGUGCAUUGGGCAAGCAGCACCGGGCACCUUUUCCUCAAGUUGCUGCAUACAGAGCUGAGAAGGGGCUUGAACUGGUGCAUACAGACUUGUGUGGGCCGAUCACACCCACCACACCUGGAGGCAGCAAAUAUUUCUUGCUUGCAGUGGAUGAUUACAGUCGCUACAUGUGGUUGGAGCUGCUGAAAUCGAAGGAUGAGGCUCAUCAGCGGUUCAAGAUAGUUCAGGCCAUGGCCGAGUCUGAAGGAAGAUGCAAGCUUCGAGCUUUUGGGUCAGACCGUGGUGGGGAGUUCAAUUCAGUCGAAUUCAGGGAGUACUGUGAUACGCUGGGCAUCAAACACUACACAACUGCUCCGUACUCCCCUCAGCAAAACAGCGUGGUGGAACGAAGAAACCAAACUGUUGUCGAGAUGGCAUGA
rnacentral:rRNA from 1 species